UUCAAGAAUCAAGGGCUUAUGAGGGAUACCUAGGCAUUCAGAAGCGAUGAAGGACGUGGCUACCUACGAUAAGCUUCGGGUAGCUGGAAGCAAGCUGUGAUCCGAAGAACUCCGAAUGAGGAAACUCUUAAAACUCCUUGUUGAAUACAUAGACAAGAAAGAGCAAACCUGGGGAAUUGAAACAUCUUAGUACCCGGAGGAAAAGAAAGUAAACUACGAUUACCUUAGUAGCGGCGAGCGAAAUGGUAAGGACGCCUAAACUAAUUUUAUUAGGGUUGUUGGGACAGCGAAUAAAAAAAACGUUAGGAGAAGUAUUUGGAAUAAUACACCAUAGAAAGUGAAAGUCUUGUACCUUAAAACAAUAUAAACUUACUGUAUCCCGAGUAGCAUGGAGCACGUGUAAUUCCGUGUGAAUCAGCGAGGACCACCUCGCAAGGCUGAAUAUUCCUGAAUGACCGAUAGUGAACCAGUACCGUGAGGGAAAGGUGAAAAGAACCCCGGGAGGGGAGUGAAAUAGAACAUGAAAUCAUAAGCUUACAAGCAGUAGGAGGACGACUUAACGUUUGACUACGUUCCUGUUGAAGAAUGAGCCGGCGACUUAUAGGGAAUGGCAUGGUUAAAAUUAUAUUGGAGCCGUAGCGAAAGCGAGUUUGAAUUAGAGCGUUUGUCAUUUUUUAUAGACCCGAACCCGGAUGAUCUAACCAUGGCCAGGUUGAAACUUAGGUAAUACUAAUUGGAGGACCGAACCGACUGAUGUUGAAAAAUCAGCGGAUGAGUUGUGGUUAGGGGUGAAAUGCCAAUCGAAUCCGGAGCUAGCUGGUUCUCCCCGAAAUGUGUUUAGGCGCAGCGGUUAAUUUUGUAUUUUAGGGGUAAAGCACUGUUUCGAUGCGGGCCGGUAAUUCGGUACCAAAUCGAGGCAAACUAAGAAUACUAAAAUAUCUUUUAACCAGUAAGACUGUGGGGGAUAAGCUCCAUUGUCAAGAGGGAAACAGCCCAGACCACCAGCUAAGGCCCCUAAAUAAUUACUAAGUGAUAAAGGAAGUAGAAGUGCUUAGACAACCAGGAGGUUUGCUUAGAAGCAGCAAUCCUUUAAAGAAUGCGUAAUAGCUCACUGGUCGAGUAAAUUUGCGCCGAAAAUGUAUGGGGCUAAGUAAUUUGCCGAAGCUGUGGGAUAUCUAUAUUAUAAAUAUCGGUAGGGGAGCGUUCUGUUAUAGGUUGAAGCAUUAGCGAAAGCGGGUGUGGACGAAACAGAAGUGAGAAUGUCGGCUUGAGUAGCGAAAACAUUGGUGAGAAUCCAAUGCCCCGAAAACCUAAGGUUUCCUUCGGAAGGCUCGUCCGCGGAGGGUAAGUCAGGACCUAAGGCGAGGCUGAGAAGCGUAGUCGAUGGACAACAGGUUAAUAUUCCUGUACUAUUAAUAAUCAAGUAAGGGCAAGGAGUGACGGAGCAGGCUAAGCUAGCCGGAUUCUGGUUACCGGUUUAAACGUUCUAAGUGUUGAUAAAUAGAGAAAAUAUUUUGAGCUGAGACGUGAAUACGUUAUGCUACGGCAUUUAAGUAGUUGAUGUCAUACUUCCAAGAAAAGCUUCCACUGUCGAAUUAUUAAUACCUGUACUGUAAACCGACACAGGUGGGUAAGUAGAGAAUACUAAGGGGCGCGAGAUAACUCUCUCUAAGGAACUCGGCAAAAUAGCCCCGUAACUUUGGGAGAAGGGGUACCUUGAGAAAGGUUGCAAUAAUCAGGUCCAAGCGACUGUUUACCAAAAACACAGGUCUCCGCUAAGUCGUAAGACGAUGUAUGGGGGCUGACGCCUGCCCAGUGCCGGAAGGUUAAAGAAGUCGGUUUUUGCUGAUAACUGAAGCCCCGGUGAACGGCGGCCGUAACUAUAACGGUCCUAAGGUAGCGAAAUUCCUUGUCGGGUAAGUUCCGACCCGCACGAAAGGUGUAACGAUCUGGAUACUGUCUCAGAGAGAGACUCGGUGAAAUAAAACUAUCUGUGAAGAUGCGGAUUACCUGCACACGGACAGAAAGACCCUAUGAAGCUUUACUGUAACCUGGAAUUGCUCUCAAGCUUAUCUUGCGCAGCUUAGGUGGGAGGCUAUGAACCUUUUCUUCUGGGAAGAGGGGAGCCAUCAGUGAGAUACCACUCUUGGUAAGCUAGAGCGCUCAGUCUUCACCGUCAUCCGGUAAGACGACAGUUUCAGGCGGGCAGUUUGACUGGGGCAGUCACCUCCCAAAAGGUAAUGGAGGUGUGCAAAGGUUCCCUCAGGCUGGACGGAAAUCAGCCAUAGAGUGUAAAAGCAAAAGGGAGCUUGACUGCGAGACUGACAUGUCAAGCAGAGACGAAAGUCGGCUUUAGUGAUCCGACGGUGCUGUGUGGAAAGGCCGUCGCUCAACGGAUAAAAGUUACUCUAGGGAUAACAGGCUAAUCUCCCCCAAGAGUUCACAUCGACGGGGAGGUUUGGCACCUCGAUGUCGGCUCGUCGCAUCCUGGAGCGGAAGUACGUUCCAAGGGUUGGGCUGUUCGCCCAUAGAAAGCGGCACGCGAGCUGGGUUCAGAACGUCGUGAGACAGUUUGGUCCAUAUCCUGUGUAGGCGUUUAGAGCAUUGAAAGGAUCUCCCCUUUGUACGAGAGGACCAGGUGGGGACAGACCGCUAGUGUACCAGUUAUCCCACCAGGGGUAAACGCUGGGUAGCUAUGUCUGGAGUAAAUAACUGCUGAAAGCAUAUAAGUAGGAAGUUCACCUUAAGAUGAGUGCUCUUUUGUCUCAACCGUUCAGUUUUACUGACAAAUGAAAGACAAGGAAGGUCACGGCAAGACGAGCCGUUUGAUAGGCAUGAAGUAGAAGUGCAGUAAUGCAUUCUGAAGCUGACAUGUGCUAAUAGACCGAGGGAUUUGAUUUU
rnacentral:rRNA from 1 species